AUGGGGAGUUGUUCGUCGGCCUGCGCCUUUUCUCGGUCCCAUCGAGCCGACCAGUUAAAAUCCGGACCAGACCGGAUGUUCUUUCGGACUGAUUUCACUAACCAGACCGGUCACAAAUUUUGGGCGGGCCUUCCUUCUCCGGCACGGUGCGGUCCGGUCCACGAGCGGGACCCCAAUCAUGAUGCUCCGGCGCAUCGGCGUCGGCAUGGCCAUAGCGUCCGUCGCCAUGGCUGUGGCGGCGCUGGUGGAAGCCGUGCGCCUCCGCUCGGCCAGGGACGCCGGCCUGGUCGACCGCCGGCAGGUAGCUGCGCCGCAGUUGGUGCUGAUCGAUCGGCUUCGCCAACGAGUUCACCAUCGUCGGCUUCGAGGAGUUCUCCUAUGACUAAGUGCCCGGCGCGCCACGGAGCGUCGGGCUCGCCUGAGCAUCGCGGGCGUGAGGAGCUACACCAGCGGCACGCUCGUCUCGGCGGUUGA
rnacentral:rRNA from 1 species